CACGUACAACAACAUCACCGGCACGAGCGUCACGUACGGCCCGUACGGCGGGCAUGAGAUGAGCAGCCAGACGAGCUUCCAGACGGCGGACGCGAGCGAGAUCGUGGGCUUGUAUGGAUUCACCUCGGACUACAUGCGCGGAAUUGGUUUCGCGCUCGAGCCUGCCAAGAACUAGAAACUUGGAUAUAGAUGAUUAAUCAUCAUACCAUGAAUCUAUCUAUCUACCAACCAUUGCUAAUUUACAGUUGAACUUGAGAAUGUAGCCACUGUUUCAAUAGUCUUGCGCCAAUUACGCGUAGAUGCGAUAAAUCCUCCUGAGCGAGGAGCACUUUGAGCUUGGAGCUGCAGAGCUCAUAAAGUCAAUGGAAGGCAAAAAAAGUCCAAGAAAGCCUCUAUUACCUUUAUUGACCUUGACAAAUUGAGUUGAGUUGUCCGUUAAUAUUGUUACUACUGUUUAUUACUUAAUCUUUUAAGGUAACUUCCAGAUAUCAGUAUGUAUCAGAUGUCAAUAUGGUUUCUGGCCUAUAUAAUUUCCUGGCGGAUCAUAGUUGCAACUAACAAGAUAAGAAUUCAUACCAUUGCACUGGACAUAAGCGCAUCCGACUCGAACAGAGCGUGUAGUGUCCACAGACCUUCCCCGCCGCGCAAGUGUUUGACGCAUAGUUGUAGUCGACUUGCUCGUUCACCCAGGCAGCCACAGCGUCAGUGGCGGGAGGAGCAGGCAAGCCGGGACUUCCCCACCACUGCCACAGAUUCUCUCCAUAUCUCCCACCCGAGUGGAUCAGCGCGCAGUUCUUUUGAUCCCGGAGAGUUGCCGCCCAGCUUGAUGCAAACGCGGGCACUGUAUCGUCCCAAACCAACCCCGAGACAUUCACAGCCGGCCGAGCUGCGUUGUGCGCGUCGACAAGAUCACUCUGCUGGCUUGCUUGAAGAACAACCAAAGCAUCACAAGAGACGAUCGCCAGAGUUGCAAAGAGGAGAGGAGAGCAAGGAGAUUUCAUGUUGCUGGGGCGAUGUUCACAAUCAAGAGCAAACUCCUACGGUUAUAUGCAAAGUCGUUGUUCUGAUCGAGUUUUUCCACUUGUGGCGCCGACUUAGCGCUUGCGAUUGUACACGAUUUUUUGCUGUGACGGUGACCCAUGAUUCGAGUACGUUUUAGUUUGGUGCUCCAUGACUUUAGCCGCCUCUUUUUCUUCCACUGCUCGAGGAGCUUCUCUUCCGGACACCCUCUGGAUACAAAUUCAUGGAUCUUUCUUUGGCAGUUUCCUCAAGCAACUUGAAUCAUCCACAUGAAUCCAUUACCAACACUUCAGUGUUUGCGUGAACUAACUGUAUCCCACACAAAGGAUUCUAUUUUGUAUUCAAGGUGGUGGUGAUGGUCUUUAUCUUGGGAUUAAAGACUGCAAAAUAAGCAUACAAACCAUGACAGACAGCAGUUGGUCCUUGUCAGCGAUUUAAACAGCGAAGCAAACAUUCCAGGCUCAGUAAUCUAGUCUAAUCCUCGAAACCAAAGAAAAAAAACCCGUGCAAUCGCAAAUCUCUCACUUGCACAUGUUCCAUCCACCCCCAAGAUUUUUGACACAUUUUAUUACACUGGUUGGUGUGCCAACAUCGCCAACUUUGAGAGAUUUUAAGACACCCCAAAAGAGCAAAUCAUUCUAUCGUCUCUUUUGAAUUCAUCUUCACUUGAGUGAAUCUGAGAGAGAGGAAAGAGAAAAGUUACAGAAUUGAAAGAAAAUCUUAUAUAACACACCGGUGGGUAAUCCUGUCUUCUACUCCUAAAAAAUCUCCUUGUUUCCUAGUGGGGCUCGAUCUGUACAGCUUUGUUUUUGUUCUUCCAUCGUCACUCUCAAACUUUUCUCAAAUCUCUUCCAGUGUGAAGCUUCACAAAACGAAAAAAAGAAGAAUUACAUUAGAGCCAUCAAUCCUAAAUGCGGCACCCCCGUCCCCGCUGUCCACGUCAUACGCCGCGUUGGUAGCCUCCCCCAUGUCCAGGGGUUCGAUUCCCGGCGCCGACGCCCUCGGGAGGAGGUCGCGGGGUCGAUUCCAGUGGGCGCGCCGGGAUGGUCGAGUGGAGGACCCCGAGAGGAGUGAAGCUCUUCUUGAUCACCCCGAGGAGACCGAUCGGCUGCGCCACAGGCGAUCGCGAUCGGCGUGCACGCCGCGGUGGUGGAAAUCGUCGUUCCGGGCCCGGGAGGGAACAAAUUCGUCUCCACGGCGCCGUUGUGGCUGGAUUUUCUUCCUCUUGCGCAGCCCAAAGAAGGAGGAGAUCCAGGAGAGCUUGCCGCCGCCGCCGCUGUGGUGAUGGGGAUUCCUGGCGCCGCGAUGAUCCCUGUAAACGUGAUGAGCCACGGGCGUGGCGGAUGCCGAUACCAGGGGACUGUGAUAGGACCCGGCGGCAUUUGCCUUGCAGUUCCGCGUGGAGAAGAAUCCAUCCGCUGGAAACCCUCCUUCCCCCCCAUUUCUUGAAUCGGGAGCGGCAAAUCGAGCAAAUGUUGGUGCUGGAGCUCCGCCGCGGCGGGUGCUGCUGCUGCCACUGCGAGAGAGGAAUUCGGUGGCUGCUGGAAGAAUCGCCCGAGAGAGAGAGCCGGAGGAGGCGAUCCCGGAGGCACAAGUGACCGGCUGCCUCUUGCUGGGAUGAACCAAGCACACGCCUGGAUCCAUCGCCAAAUCGAUCUAGUAGCAGCUCGCGUUGGGAGGAUACCACCGCAAAAAUCCCGUCGACAUGGCCCGCCCGCGUUGUCGGUGAGUGAAUUGGGUGUGAUCGAUCUUGUUGCCAAUCUUUGUCUCGGAUCCAAAUGGACAGCCAUGGAGCGCACUUUUGGAUGGCGCCACCACGAAGCUCGAGCCAAGCAGCGGACGUGAAGGAGAAGUCACCGUUCCGGUGUCAAGCCGCGUGUCUUGCAGUGGAUGUAUAUCUGCAUCCUGGCUAACCAAAGCCCAAGAACGUCAACUUUCCGUUUCAAGUUGGAAUUUUUGGUGACCAUCCGACGGUUGCAGAGGUACUCUUGUAACUUCGCUAAUUUUCCGUUCACAGGAAAGGGGGACAUCAUUGCUUUGGGAACUGAUGGCCUUUUUGACAAUCUCUUCAACGACGACAUAACCGAAGUUCUUAAAAAUUCUCUUGGGUCCGACCAAGUCAACUUGAAGGUGAACUCUCGCUGUUGACGAAUCUCAAGAUCACCAGGCAGCUGCAGCAGACCGUGUAGCUGGGGCUCAGGCCGAGCGUUUGGACAGCCCGUUUGCCAGGGCGGCUGCAAAGGCGAGAAUGAAUUGGAGCGGUGGAAAGCUAGAUGAUACCACGGCAGUUGUGGCGUUUGUGACGUGAUAUUAAGGGUAAACUUUUCAACCAGUUUUUGUGGAGGCCAGUGGAGCAGGGCAAGAAGGCAUAAUUUGGCUCACACCACUCCUCCUUGCAGCUUUCCUGAGCCUCAACACGGACGGAAAUCCCACUUUGUCAACUGAUGAUUUGGUACUGAUGAGCUGAGCAGCUGCCGCUGCCAAUGAAGCAUGCAAGCAGCAUAAAGAUUGGCAAGAUGUAGCCUCUCAUUCUCAUGAUCAAAAGGUCACCCCCUGGUUGAUGGAAAAGUAUGCAUCAAUUGUGUAAGAUAAAGGGGAAUUAUUCUUUCAUAUGUUCUUUAUUGAUAUAUAAUUAGAAGUAUUAUUAAUAAUGACUUUGAAUAACAUUUUCAACACUAAUAUCCAAAAUGACAGGUCUAAGUUACUCCUAAAGCCUAAGUUAACACUUUGCCAAAAUAUUGAGUUAUGAAUAAAAGUAACUAUAAAGUUUAUGAAUGAUUUGUUCUUUAUAUCAAAUCAUCACUAUUGUAUAUUCAAAUUGAGCCUAUCUAUCACGAAAAGGAGUUAGUUUUUUUUUUAUUAAAGUAUAGUGAUGAGUGAGUUGAGUAAUACAAAACUCUUUGUAAUAAAAAAUCCUCGAUGCAGCAUUAGGUCUGGCAUUACAAGUGGCUGCAAUUAUUGCACAAAAAAACAGGUUUUUCACAACAUUAAAUGCCAUGACAUUCAAGACAAUGAACUUUGAUAUCACAUCAUCUAAGUUUAUGUUUCUUGCAUCAUCAAGUAUUUCCCCAAUGUUGCCAUCUCACAUUCACUUUCAACCAAUAAAUGAUCCUGCAUAGCUUAUGAAGUAUUUAUAGGCUGAGAUUGAUUAACAUUUUCUAUACAAGCUCCAAAAGCAGAUGCCCCAUCAAAAUGCUGACUCUCUGUAAAUUUGUUGUAAAAAGUAAAGACAAAAGCACAUUUGUGAUUUACUCCACAAACAUUCAGUAAAUUUGAUUCUGAAUAUGAAGAGGAAUGUUUGAAGCACUACAUGUUUCAAUAUCAUGCCCAAGAAUUUUAGCAAAAUGUGUUAACCAUCAUACAUUUUUCCAUAAUAAUUACAUUUCCAAUGCCCAAGUCUUUUGCCAGAAGCAUAAGGAGUGAGCUUGGCAAUAUAGGACUAUGCCUAAUCAAGCACCAUUGUUCAAUUGUGCCAGAAUUGCUCUAUGAAAUCACUAGAAUCGUAAUUUCUAUUUUAGGGCAAAAAUUACAGUUCAUGUGAAGCCUCAGUGAGCUGCUCCAUACUCAAUCUAAAGUGGGGCCGACCAACUGGAGAGUGUCACCUUGGAGAGCUUGGUACGCACGCAGCUCCUAUAGCCCUCUGUAAGGAACCAACUCUCUGAGGUGUCAUAGGCUAAAGGAUCCCCAAAAGCAUAACCGAAAUAACAAAGAGUUUAUCGGAUGGAACCGAGUCUGAGAUCGAGUCCAAGACCGACUCUGAGACCAAGUUCGAGAUAGAGUCCGGGAUCAAGUCUGAGGCUGACUCGGAGACCGAGUUCGAGGCCGAGCUUGAGACUGAGUUCGAGACAGAGUUCGAGAUCGGGUCCGAGACUGAGUCCGAGGUCGAGUCCGAAGUUGAGUCUGAGAUCAGGUCCGAGAUCAAGUCCGAGAUCGAGUCCGAGACCGAGUUCAAAGUUAGGUCCGAGAUCAAGUCCAAAAUCGAGUCCGAGACCGAGUCCGAGUACUAAUAUAGGUUAAGGGGUGAAAGCCCAAAGCGUGCGUCUCCCAGGGAGGGGGGCUGCAAGGGGUUCCAAAAAUAUAGUAGGGAUAGUGAGGUCCAGGAACCAGUCUUGAAGGAACUCUCUAGUGGUGCUUCUAAACUGACUUGAGGUUGAGACUAGGGCCAAGGGGCCUUGGGUAGGAGUGAGCAUGGACUCGGGUGGUGCCGGAGGGGCCACCCAAGUGUUCAAGAGCAACUCCCACUUCUGAAAGGAAAACCAACCACUUGAGUACCUUGUGGCUCAUUGGUCCUCGCCCUUCCUAGGGGCUUGGGCCUUCCCUUCGGGAUGGAGGGGGGGGGGUAGAGGUACCCAUAUUGGUCUGUUAUGCCACGGUGUUUCGCCCCGGUGUCCUGAAGCAAGUGUUGCACCUAAGGCUUGGGAUUUAGAGGGUUCUAUAAUCAAAUCUUGUUGUAAGGGAUAUUAGGAACCUGGAGGCUUGUGUGCUUGGCUGCUUGUGCUUGCGGGGAGUGUAGCUGAAAGUCCAAUUUAACCCGGGGAGGGGGAUUGGGAGAGAUUUGGGAAUCCGUGGAUGGAUGGCUAAUGCUCCGUUGCUCGUGUAAUGAGUAAUUGAAACCAAGUAGGACCAAGUAGGAGUUGGUACAAUAGACGGGAACCUUGGUGAGGGAACUUAGCAAAAACCAAGGCAGUGUUGGUCAGAUAGAUGAGGUAAGUUGGCAAAUUGAAAAGGAAAAAUUUGAGGCUUACAAUUUGGUAUCGAAACCUUUUCCUCAGUUCUAGCGAAGGAUAGAAGCGGAUUGCUGGGAGAUGGCAAAGGCAGAGUAGAAACGAACUAAGGCGGAGAUAGAACCUCCUCUAGAGCUGGAGCCUCCGGUCGAACAAGAGGUUAUGGAUGAGGAAUCCUUGCAUGAGGAGAACUCUAGUGAGGAAACUUCCAAACAGAAGUCUGGUGGUGAGGUUCGGUCGUCCAAGGCUCGAUUGAACAUUCUAGAAGGACAAUUGGCACAAACCAGUGCCUUGUUGGAGACUCUCGUAUGCAAGCUAAAGUGUGAUGAGAAGCAGAAGAAAAGGCAAAAGACUGCGGAGGCUGGUAGCACAAAAGGUGUAGACCCUUUGGCAGGGAUUGAGGCAAAACCAAACAAGGUCGAACAGACCGAAGUGAAAUCAGUCCCUCAGGCAGUUCCCAAGUACAAACCAAAGCCCCCACCAAUUUUCAAGGGAGUGAAUGACUAUAAGGUGGUGGAGGAUUGGUUUUACAAUAUGGAGGACUAUUUCCGAGUGUUUCGGUUACCGAGCUCGGAGAAGUUCCCAUGUGUAAAACCAUACUUAACAAAUAAUGCCAAGUCUUGGUGGAGAACGACAGAGGCCAACAAAAGAUCGGUGGCCACUUGGGAAAUGAUGAAGGUGAGGAUUCAUGUGACUUACGUUCUUCCAAAUCCUACUUUGCAUCUAAAAGAUGAGCUGAGUAGGUUGAAGCAAACCAGAACCAUUCAGGAGUAUGUGAAUUGGUUUAUGGCAAAGAGGAUACUUGUUACGGAUAUAGGGGAUAUGGAUACGUUCCAUGCCUUCAUAUCAGACUUGCAAACCUAGGCUCGCAGUGAGGUGAUACGUUGGAACCCAACCAACUACAAGGAAGCGUUGGAUGCAACCGUCAAGGUGUAUUUCAUCAAUAACCUGUGAAAGGGGAACACGAUGGGGUCGGGGUCCACGUUUAGCAAAGGGGCCAAACCAAGGGGAACAUAUAGCAAAGGGAAAUUCAAGAAGAGUUUCUCUAAGAAUGAGUCCUCAGGGUUCCAAAAAGGCAAAUCCGGUGGUCAGCGAGCAAGUACGUGGGGGAGUUAAGCAAAAAGAGAUAAACCCAUGGAUAAAAAGGUCCAGUCAGUUAGCAGUGUGGGAAACAACAUAUACUACAACUGCGGUGAAGCAGGACACUUUUUGAGGGAAUGUCUCUACUCGAAGAAGGCCAGAGCCAAUAUGGCCAUUAAGUCGGGUGAAAUCCAAAUUGAGGUAUGUGAUCCAGUCCCUAGCUCAAAGUUACUCAUUACACGAGCAACUUUGGUAGAGAGUCGUUCACGACAUCUACUAUCCCUCUGAGGGAAGCUCGGAGGUAGCUUUGUUAAGAUCCUUAUUGACACGAGUGCUUCGGAUAAUUUUGUGGCUACAGACAUAGUCUGGCAAGCCGGACUAACAGUGCAGCGGUUGGGCGAACCAAGGACUAUAGAGUUUGUUCAAGGUAGCCAAAGCACCGAUGAGGUACUUCAACAAGCAAGAGUCGAAGUAGGGACAUGGAAAGUAGACAUGGAUUUCACCAUGUUGAACAUGGCGGGAUUUAACGUGAUCUUCGGGAUGGAUUGGUUCAAUCGAUUCAUGGUAGCCCUACAUGGAUAAAGUAGGAACCUUGUGGUAUUAGCGAAUGCCCAAGGAAGAAGAUCCAGGGUGGAGGCUCAGGAUCUAAAGGUAGAGCAAUGCAAGGUCAAAGAUUCUUGCCUAAACCUGGUGUUCACGAGAGGACAAAUCAUUAAAGGAACCAAGGUAGCAUUUUUGUGCUUACUCUCAAUGAAGAGUGACAAAAAGACGGGAACAGAAGAAAUACCUUUAAUGAUCCAGCGGGUGUUAAACCAAUUCCAGGAUACCAUGCCGGAGGAGCUACCGGCGGGGUUGCCCCCUGCACGACCGAUAGAACAUAAGAUUGAGCUAGUCGAGGGUGUUGAGGUGGUGGUUCGUCCCAUCGUUUGAACAAAAAAGAACUCGAGGAGCUCAAGCGCCAACUAAAGGAGUUGGUGGACAAAAGGUAUGUUAGGUUGAGCAAGUCGCUAUAUGGGGCAUCGAUGUUAUUUGUGAAAAAGAAAGAUAGAUCUAUGCGUAUGCGCAUAGACUACUGGUUGCUCAACAAGUAUACAAAGAAGAACAAGUACCCUUUGCCAAGGAUUGAGGACCUAUUCGAUAAGUUGGGAAAGGCAAAAUACUUCUCGAGGAUUGACCUAAGGUCAGGAUACUUCCAGAUCAGGGUAGCAGAGGAAGAUGUCGAGAAGACAACCUGUCAAACAAGGUAAGGAAGAUUUGAGUUUUUGGUGAUGCCUUUUGGGCUAUGCAAUGCGCCGGCAACAUUUUUGGCAUUGAUGAACCACAUCUUUGUACCUUAUCUGGAUUAUUUUGUGGUUGUCUAUAUUGACGACAUCUUAAUCUAUAGCGAAACGCUAGAGGAGCAUGCUAAACACUUAACGAAGGUGUUUGAGAAACUAAGGGAACACCAACUGUAUGCUAAAGAGAGCAAAUGUGACUUUGCUCAACAAGAGGUAAAGUUUCUCGGGCAAGGACGGGCUCAAAGUGAACCCUGAAAAGGUCCAAGCGAUUCAGGAUUGGGAGCGACCAUCAAAUGUACAUGAGUUAAGGGCAUUCUUGGGACUAUGCAACUACUAUCGAAAGUUUAUCAAACACUAUUUCAGAGUAGCCCUACUUUUAACGGACCAAACAGGAAAAGGGAAGAUGGUAUGGACAGCGGAAUGCGAGGUGGCAUUUGUCCACCUCAAAGAGAAGUUGAAGAAGGCUCCCAUGUUGGCGUUACCAGACUUUGGUAAGGACUUUGAGAUAGAAAUAGAUACUUCAGACUUUGCGUUGGGCGCAGUUUUGAAGCAAGACAAUCAUCCAGUGGUGUUCUUUUCGAAGAAGUUGGACAAGGCUUAACGGAAGUAGCCUACCCACAAGAAGGAAUUGUUUGCAGUGGUCAAGGCACUCAAGGAGUGGCGACACUACCUUGGGAGACACUUCAAGGUUUACACAGACAAUGUGGCAACGAAACACUUCUUGUCACAGCCCGACAUGAGAGGGAAACAAGGUCGGUAGGCUAAUGCUUUGGUUGAGUUUGAUUGCGAGAUUUUGUACAAGCCUGAGAAGAGCAACAUCGUGGCAGAUGCGCUAAGUCGAAAAGCGAGCUUGAAGUUGGCGAUAUCCAGCCUGACAGCAACCUUUUGGGAUGAUGUGCGGACAACAUAUGAGAACGAUGGUCUAGCACAAGAAGAUUGCUGAGGAAUCUGGAGGCACGGGAAACUCACCAGAGAGGUGAGCUGCCAAUAGAAGAGAAAACGGGCUAUGUAGAACACAAUGGACUCAUUUAUUACAAGUAAACGAGGGUGUAUGUUCCAAAAGGGGAACUAAGGAAGGUAACCUUAGAAGAGUGUCAUAACGAACCUCUUGCGAGACACGGUAGAGUGCCUAAGACAAUGGGCUUACUCAAGAGGAAGUACCACUAGCCAGAUAUGGCUAAAGACGUCCAAGACUAUGUAAAGACAUACCCAACAUGUUAGUAGGUCAAAGCCGUGACUAAGCCUAGUGGGGGCUUGUUACAAAGCAUCCCAAUUCCAGAUCUUCCGUGGAAAUGUCUUACGAUGGACUUCAUCACAGGGCUCCCCCCAAGCGAGGGGUUCGAUGUGAUAUUCGUGGUUGUAGUGCACCUGAAUUUGGAGCCGAACUCCAAGCCCGUUGCGCUAUGAAAUGAGGGUCCAGUACAAUCCCACGAGCACCAACUCCCCGUAUCCAGCACCUGCACUCAAAAUGGUGUCAGACGGAGUCUGGCACGAUUUUGGCAUAUCGGUGGCCUAACGCGAGAAGGAGGGUACUCCACCGACUAGAGCAACGGAGCCAAACUAAUGUCUCAGAUGGUCGGACAUGCAUUCCAACCACUAUCCCUACUAUACAUUUGGAACCCCCCAUAACCCCCCUGUAAGCUCCUGAGUUUGGACUUCCCGGGAGGUCACCCAGCCCAGUACUAUUCAAACCCAAGGACGCUUAACCCCAAAUAUCCCAAGACCCUUAACCGAUUGGAAAAGGGGGUGCACUCUUAUUCAUGGGCCCUUUCCCUCUAUAUUUGAACCCCAUGGACCGUCUCUCAAGUCGUUCCCUUUGGUUGCUUACAAUCCACCACGCUUCCCUGCAAGUUCACGCCUCGUGAACGGAAGCUGAGAGCCGCAACUCUCUCGAGAGCCUCGCUCUCUUGACACCCUACCCCUCGGGUCGAGCCCAGCGGGAGCAAACUGGACCAGCCAGAUAUCAAUCAACAUGUGGUGCGAUUCCCCUAGCCAACCAACAGAGUCGGACCUGAGACCGCUCCGAUACCAAAUGUAAGCUCCUGAGUUUGGACUUCCCAGAGUCGGACCUGAGACCGCUCCCAUGUGGUGCGAUUCCCCUAGCCAACCAACAGAGUCGGACCUGAGACCGCUCCGAUACCAAAUGUAAGCUCCUGAGUUUGGACUUCCCAGGAGGUCACCCAGCCUAGUACUAUUCAAACCCAAGGACGCUUAACCCCAAAUAUCCCAAGACCCUUAACCGAUUGGAAAAGGGGAUGCACUCUUAUUCAUGGGCCCUUUCCCUCUAUAUUUGAACCCCAUGGACCGUCUCUCAAGUCGUUCCCUUUAGUUGCUUACACCCCCCCCCCCCCCCCCUUGAGGAACACACGCUUUGGGCUUUCACCCCAAGCCUCCCUUAGUACCAGGAGUUAGUCUCUAGGACAAGCUCGAAACUUACUAAAUAUGGAAUGUCCUUAGAUUGCGAAUUUGGACACGGGAUGAACACCAUUGUGUUCAGGCCGAUCUCUACAUUCCGUAGAUAUACCAAAUGAGCUGAUCUAGACACUUUCUAUAAAUAGCAUUUGGGACCGAAAUGAGACCAACACAAAGGGCGUGAUAGCGAGGGUGUUUGGCAGACACGGUAAGCUAUCAUCCAGCGAUAUUGAAGGACUAGUCUCAAUAUGCGAGGGUUCUUGUCACUAGCAAGUGCAAGACAAAACGAGACGGGAACUCCUUACCGGGCUAAGUAUGCUUAGCUAAUAACACGUAGGAAUUCUGUCCUUAUGCUCGUCCGGUCUAAGUACACUCGAAAUGCCCAGUUAACUCCACUAGCACAAGAGGGGCUACUAAAGGGAUCCAACUGUACCAAUCUCCUGCCAUCAUGGCAGUAAGGAAAGAGUGUCCAUAAGGACCUAUCGACAAGUAUCUUUCGAUACCCGAAGUCACAUUCGCGACAGUGGUGGUGGACCGAUUUUCGAAAAUGGCACAUUUCAUACCCAUCACAACGGAAAUGGAUACGGAAAGUGUGGCGAAACUGUUCUUCAAACAAGUGGUUCGAGUGUGGGGAAGGCCAAAAGAGAUUAUCUCAGAUCGAGAUAAGAUCUUCACCAGUAGGUUCUGGUAAACUCUCCUAGAAUAAUAUCGCACCAAGUUGAAAUUCAACACAGCCUAUCACCCACAGACAGGUAUUGGGUAUUAAGUCAAGUUUGAUGGCACUAACACUUCUUGAUAGAUGGACAAACAGAAAGGGUGAAUAGGUAGCUGGAGGAUUAUUUGCGAUGCUAUGUCUCGAAAGACCAGACUGAUUGGGUAAGUCAUCUGGGACUUGUGGAAAUGUGUUAUAAUAACUCACCACAUUCGAGUAUCGGGGUGAGUCCAUGGGAAGUCAUCAAUGGGUGAGCUAUUAAAGGUUCUGUGGAACUCGGCGUGGCUGAGUAUCAUGGAGAGUUACUUGCAGUGGAGGCAUUCAUGGCGGAAAGACUCAACAUUUGGAAUCUAGUGAGGGACUCCUUGGAACGGGCUCAACAAAAGCAAACCAAGUACGCGAACCAGAAGCACUGGGAUGUAGAGUUCCAAGCUGGGGAGAGGGUGUGGCUGAACACCAAGAACCUCAAGCUACCAAGUGGGAUCAGCCGGAAGUUGACCCAAAGGUAAAAAUGCAUAUAUUUCUGUAAAUGAAUCGAUCUUGAGUUCCUUAAGCAGAUCCGUGGGGCAUUAUGAGAUUGAGGCACAAAUCGGUAAAGUGGCUUAGAGAGAUGGGGAAGAUGCACCUAGUGUUCCACAUGAACUUACUUAAGCCGUAUUUUGAGGAUCUGCUUCGCAAGGACCAAGUAAGACCUUUACCUGAGGUUAUCUAAGGGGAAGAGGAAUACAAAGUCAAGGCCAUCCUCAAUGCGCGCAAGAGCAAGCGACAAAGACGCGAGGUGAGAGAGUUCCAUGUGAAGUGGAAAGGAUUUCCACAUUGCGAAGCAACAUGGGAACCGAAAGAGAACCUAGCGAACGCACAAGAUUUAGUGGAGGAAUUUCUGCAAGGUAGAACUCUAUGUACUUAUGCAAAGUUCAUUUAAAGUAUCAAUUUGUGAAGUUGCAAUGGCAUAUGUUGUGACCCGAAGGCGUGCCGAAGGUAAGCUAAUUAGCAUGGGUUAGCUAGGUCGACCAAGCAUAAAGAAUUAUGCCUAACUCCCCAUGGGGAUGUCAAAUCCGUAUACAUAUUCUACGGAAGUUGGGUUUGAGUCCCAACCCCCUAGUAAAGCAAGGCUGGGUUUAAGUCCCAACCCCAUACUAGGGCGUGGUGGGGUGAGGGGUAUAGGGACAUCUAUAUUCUGUUGUCAUGGGCUCUUGGCCGGGGAGGCUAACUUAGGCACACCGCUAAGUGGGGGGAUGCCUCCGGAGACAUGGUCAACAAAUCGUAGGAUAAAAAGAGACGUUUGAUGAGGGCACCGAACUUCUUCUAUGGGUGGUGGAGUUGUAAAGAACCAACUCCCCAAGGUGUCGUAGGCUAAAGGAUCCCCGAAAGCAUGACCGAAAUGACAAAAAGUUCAUCGGACGGGACCGAGUCUGAGAUCGAGUCCAAGACUGACUCUGAGACCGAGUUCGAGAUAGAGUCUAGAAUUGAGUCUGAGGCCAACUCGAAGACCAAGUUCAAGGCCGAGUUUGAGACCGAGUUCAAGACAGAGUCCGAGAUCCAAGAUCGGGUCCGAGACCGAGUCCGAGGUCGAGUCCGAAGUUGAGUUCGAGAUCGGGUCCGAGAUCGGGUCCGAGAUCGAGUCGAAAGUUAAGUUCGAGAUCAAGUCCAAAAUCGAGUCCGGGUGGGAUUCUCGCAGCUCGGGGAGCUCCGCAAGGCGGAGCGUCUCUUUCGAUCCAUCCCGGAGAGGAAUGUGGUUUCUUGGAACACGAUGAUCGCCACUUUAUUUUUGGAACCCCUUGCAGCCCCCCUCCCUGGGAGACGCACGCUUUGGGCUUUCACCCCUUAACCUAUAUUAGUACUCGGACUCGGUCUUAGUAGGGAUAGUGAGGUCUAGGAACCAGUCUUGAAGGAAUUCUCUAGUGGUGCUUCCAAACUGACUUGAGAUUGAGACAGAGGCCAAGGGGCAUUGGGUGGGAGUGAGCAUGGACUCGAGUGGUGCCGGAGGGGCCACCUAAGGAAGUGUUCAAGAGCAACUCCCACUCCCGAAAGGGAAACCAAUUGCGAUGCUCCUGGCUCGUGUGGAAUGGUGCCCCACUUGAGUACCUUAUGGCUUAUUGGCAUUCCUUUCGGGAUGGAAGUGGGGGGGUAGAGGUACUUAUACCGGGCUGUUAGGCCACAAUGUUUUGCCCUAGUGUCCUGAAACAAGUUGUAAGCUCCUGAGUUUGGACUUCCCGGGAGGUCACCCAGCCCAGUACUAUUCAAACCUAAGGACGCUUAACCCCAAGUAUCCCAAGACCCUUAACUGAUUGGAAAAGGGGGUGCACUCUUGUUCAUGGGCCCUUUCCCUCUAUAUUUGAACCCUAACGGAUCGUCUCUCAAGUCAUUCCCUUUGGUUGCUUACAAUCCACCACGCUUCCCUGCAAGUUCACGCCCUCGUGAACGGAAGCUGAGAGCCGCAGCUCUCCCGAGAGCCCCGCUCUCUUGACACGCUACCCCUCGGGUCGAACCCAAUGGGAGCAAACUGGACCAGCCAGAUGUCAAUCAACGUGUGGUGUGAUUCCCUUAGCCAACCAAUAGAGUCGGACCCGAGACCCCUCUAAUACCAAAUGUAAGCUCCUGAGUUUGGACUUCCCGGGAGGUCACCCAGCCCAGUACUAUUCAAACCCAAGGACGCUUAACCCCAAGUAUCCUAAGACCCUUAACCGAUUGGAAAAGGGGGUGCACUCUUGUUCAUGGGCCCUUUCCCUUUAUAUUUGAACCCUAACGGAUCGUCUCUCAAGUCGUUCCCUUUGGUUGCUUACACAAGUGUUGCACCUAAGGCUUGGGAUUUAGAGGGUCCCAUGAUCAAGUCUUGUUGUACCAAGGGAUAUUAGGAAUCUGGAGGCUUGGUGUGCUUGGCUGCUUGUGCUUGCGGGGAGUGUAGCUGAACCUUAAAUCCAAUCUAACCCGGGGAGGGGGAUUGGGAGAGAUUUGGGAAUCCAUAGAUGGAUGGCUAACGCUUUGUUGCUUGUGCAAUGAGUAGUUGAAACCAAGUAGGACCAAGUAGGAGCUGGUAUAAUAAACAGGAACCUUGGCAAAGGAACUUAGCAAAAACCAAGGCAGUGUUGGUCGAAUAGACGAGGUAAAUGUGAGACACAAAAUCCCUAAGCCCCAAAGUGGAGCUGGAACGGUGCCAUGUGGUGGUGGCCGAAGCGAAAACCAAACAAGCGUAACACGUUUGGACCAAAAAGCUCCAACUUGAAAAGGUCGAAAGUGGGAGUGGAAUUCCUAACGAAGUGCUCGAGGAGCGAGCACGAAGUGAGCAAUAAGCGAGGCUCCAAAAAGGGACCCAAAAGGACCAACACAUGACACAAGGAAGUGUCCAAAAUGGACCCGAGUUGGGGUCUGAAGUGGAGUCCGAGAUGGAGUCCAAGGUGGAGUUCGAGAUGGAGUCCGAGAUGGAGUCCGAAAUGGACCCGAGAUGGAGUCCGAGAUGGAGUCUGAGAUGGACUCGAGAUGGAGUCCGAGAUGGAGUCCGAGAUGGAGUCUAAGAUGGACCCGAGAUGGAGUCCGAGAUGGACCCGAGAUGGACCCGAGAUGGAGUCCGAGAUGGAACCGAGACCGAGGCAGAGACCGAGACCGAGUCCGAGUCCGAAACCGGGACCGAGACCGAGUCCGAGUCCAAGUUCGAGCCCAAGUCCGAGUCCGAAUACUAAUACAGGCAAUUGGGUGAAAGCCCAAAGCGAUCGUCCCCCAGGGGGCGGGGGGGGGUUGCGGGGGGUUCCAAAAGUAUAGUAGGGAGAGUGUGGGGGUUGGAGCCCAGUGGAGCCAGUUUGGCCAAGAAAGGCUAGUUUGGCCCAGGAAAGGCCAUACCCAGUGUUGGGUGAUGAACUGACCAUUGGGAAGUCCAAGACUAGAAUGAAUAUGGACUGACAAGCAGGGUAGCUUAGUGAAGUGUUCAAGAGCCGGCUCUAGUUUCCCCGGGAGAUCGACUGGCUGAUACUCCCAGUCCAAGUGUGGGUGGCACUACCUACUUGGAUACCAAGCGUGGCUCAAUGGAACCUUGCUCUAAGCCCAUGGCUAGAGCAUCCAAAGGCGGAAGGCAGGGAGAGUACCCAUGAGGCCUGUGUAGGGCCACGGUGUUCCGGAAUGUUGUCCCAAAGGCCUAGACUGUGGAGAGGAAGAGGAGUAGUCCUCUGGUGUAGUGACCAAGGAUACAGUCGAGUGGUGAGGAAGUCCCAGAGGACCGUGGGACUUAGUGGUCAGGCCUGUGGGCCUUGAUCCAAUGGCAGUGUUGGCAAACAUGGCCAUGGGCAGAAAGCGACUUAGUGAAGACCGGAAAAGGGAUAUUGGGGAAGGUUAUUCCUCUUGUUUGUGGGCAUCCUAAGGAUGCUAAGGAGUGGAUCUGGAAUGAUCACUCAUGGACGGAUGGCCCAAUCUUUGAGAGACAGGAUGAUGGUGUAGGUGGUGUCAGACCAUCGGUGGGACCAAGUGAAUGGGCAUGGCCUUAGCGUAACGGGCUGAUGUGUUGGUGGUACUUUGGGGUGUCGAUCAUGGGACCGGACACGUGGAGCACUGGGACCAAGUGCAAAGGUUGAGUGGCAUGGAUGCCAUUCUCGAGGCUAGCAAGCCCCAAGUCCUGAGUGGGACUUAUGGAGGUUAUGAAUGAGACUCCUCCAAGUGGUCGGAGGUGUGGUUAAGUGACUAAAGUAGAGAGGAAAAAUUUAGUCACUUACAACUUGGUAUCGGAACUAUUCCUUAGUCCAACUCUUAUUAGUGGCCAAGUAUAUCACCGCUUGUAUUGGAAUCGGAAGGUCCUAGAUAUGGACCUAUCCUUGAGGAGUAGCAUGUCAAAAGGACAUGGCUCUCCACUCAAGUUCAUGCAUGAACUUGUGCACGGUAUGGUGGAUGGAAAAGGGCCAGUAAGGGAACGACUUUGGGAUCUUGGGAACAGUAUAAGGGUUUCCUCAGAAAGCUGAGGAUGUGAUCCAAAUGAGCAUUUGACGCAGCAAACGAGCUAAUGUAGUUGUGGUAAACAACUAUAGUUGGGAUCACAGGAAAGAUGCAGACUCCAAAACAAUAAAGGAGUCACAAGAUUACCCUUAUAUGGUUGAGGCUGGUACUCAUAAAUUUGAGACCGGAAUUGUUGACCGUGGGAGGUCAAAUACAGAAGAGGACACCAGUCCUUGAAAUGGUAGCCGGGGCUACCUCUAAUAAAUGUUGGAACAACCCAAGGAGUUGGGGGUGUACUUAAAGAUGAGUUGCUAUUCUCAUCACAUGGACAAGUAGUCCUAAGGGGCAAAGGUUAGCCCCAAGAAAAUCAUCAAGUGUCAGAGUAACACUUGCAAAAAUUGUCCUUGUGAGUAGGACAUGAAUACAAGGAGUUGUAUUCCAGUGAGUUGGCACCUCUAAGACUGAGACCUCGCAGAUUGUUGGAUUAGCAAAGUCCAAAAUGCUGGAUGACUCAAGCAGAGUCAGGGAAUGGUCCUAAAGGAUUGGUUGGAGCAUUUGGAUAAGGUGUAUGGUGCCCCAUGAGGUAUGGGGAGGAUCAUAAGAUCCAAGUAUGAGAACAGUAAGUAUCUCAUUGAUGGCAGAAUGUGCCAUACUAAAGUUGUGGGAAAGAUGUUCCCAGAAGAAAGCAACUUUGGCCCAGAGUUGGGUGCAAACAUUAUGGUGCGAUGCUAACGGAUAGUUAGCAUGAGGAACAACUAUAUUGAUCUUGGCAAAGACCUAGACACUAAUAAGUAGUGUCAUAAGGGUAGGCUCAUAGGGCCGAUGGUGUGGAGACACUAAAUGUGCCAAGGUGUGAUACCUUGAGGUUAUGAUGGUAGGUUCAUAAGAACCCCUUGCCAAGGGAAUCCUAACGGAAGCGGGAAUGGCAUGGCCUAAGCUGGAAGGCAUGCGGUUGGAGUGUGGUGACCCAGAUAAUGAUGGAGGUGUGGAAGCACCAAACAAUGAGUCGUAGGACUUGACAACUAUGGGGCAACUAAGCAAGAGGUGCAAGAUAAUUGGUUAAAUGGGUAGAAGGUAGCUACUCAAGACUUCUUAAUGGCAUAAGGAAAUUACAUGUACCCUUACGGGGGAUAAAUUGCUUAUGUUGCGAUAUAGCAAAUCAAUAUCAUAAACAGGAAUGCUCAUUGUCAGGAGGCCAUCAUUGGGACACCCAAGCACUCUAGAACACCAGGAGGUGGUGUUUCGUGUCGCAAGGGCAAUAAAUAAGGCCCAAGGGACUAAGUCCCUAGCGAAUGAUGGAUAGUAGGUGCUAUCCAAAUGUCCAAGGUUGUGGAGAUAGAAGAAGACUGUCUACCCGAAUUGGACAAAGCCAAAAAUGGAAUUUUGGCAAGGCUAGUGAUGGGUAUGUAAAGGCCCAUAAGCAGCAACGUUAAUCCCGAUGUGUGGGAUUAUAAAGUGAGCAUGCCCAAGAUUGAGGAACCACUCCCUAGGCUAUCAGGUAGGUUCAUCCCUAAGAAUACUUGUUAAGGCAUAGUAAAAUGUGCAAAGCUAUCCUCCUAGUCUGGAGGAGAAUAACCAAAGGAAACAUAUGGGGCCAAAAGGCAAGUAGUAUUGGGAUGGAACUAAACCAUAGAAAUCGAAAGGCAUAUCCAAUGGUGGUUAUGCAAGUUGGGAGUGGAGAAUCAAGAGGGUGCUCGAGGAUGUUGUUACUUGCAACCAUAUGGAAAGUCUAAAAUAUGGAAUUGUCCAUGUUAGACUAUAUGGCAACUAUAAAGCUUGCGAAAAGGGAGGCCUUAGCAAGCUAAGGGACAGAGUUCCUUCAAGGUUCCCAAAGACGAUUCUAGGUAGUUUAGUACCUAGGAAGGCCAAGUGUAAAUGGUUCAUAAAACGCGCGAAAUCAGAGUGGCGCAGCAGAAGCGUGGUCUUGAAGCUUGCCAUGAGGCAAGGCUCUCAAGGUUAGGGAAGUAGUUCCCGAGUGUUCAAAAAGAGGGCUUUGAACGAAAGUUGAUAGUCAAGGACUUUCACGCUUAUGCAUGAACCAUGUUACGAUAGCCGGAUGACUUGCCAAGCGAGAUUAGCAAGUCGGGGGAACAAAUACCCUAGUUGAAAGUGAUAACUUCAAAAAGGGUGGGCCAUGGGGCCAAGCAUGGAGGAGUCCAUGCAUGAUCACAGACUUGUCAAGUGAGAGGACUUGGCAGUGUGGAGGAACUAGGUUCCUAAGCUAUGAUCUGUAGCACGCUUUAAGUAUAAGUUGGUGCACUGGCGUGAUGAGUCACGCUAGGCAUCCUGGGUAAUGCCAUCCGUAGAUGCAUAUACGGAGGUUGGGUUCGAGUCCCGACCCUCUAAUGCUGGGGUUCGAGUCCCAAAUCACUAGGGCGUAGUGAUGGUUUGGAAUAUGAGGACACUCAUAUUUCGGUGGUCAUGGACUCUCAGUGAGGAGACUGGCUUGGGCACACCGCCAAGCGGGGGAUGCUCCGGAGUCGUGAUACACAGUUAAAUUGCUUAGUGUGGCUUGGCAUAUCUAACUUGAACACUUUGGUGCGAGUGGCACCAAGGACGUGGUGAAUGAGAUGGGGACACCCAGUCUCAGUUGCUAUGGACCCUUGGCCGGAAGGGCUAGCUUGAGCACACCGCCAAGUGUGGGGGAUGCCCCCGGGGUCAUGGUCAACAAGUUAAAGGUUUGGGAGACCUAGUACCUAUUGGCAAACCUGUUAAGGUAUUAAGAUUAGAUCACUAGGUGAUCGUAUGGCUAAACAAGGACGAAAUCCUUUUGAGGUUAAGGAACAAGGUUCCUAGGUCAAAACGUUGAUUUAAACUAUUGAUAAUGGUGUGGCUUGGUCAAGAAGGACACCUAAGGGAAUUGAACUACGACGAUACAAUGAUAUUAUGAGUUCAAAAAAGUAGUCUCUAGAAAGGACCUAUGGGAGGGUCACAAUGUUGGGCCGUGGAAGGGGCCCAUAGCAGAAGUUGCUACCCUUUGGACUUGGCAAAGUGGAAUUUUGCCAUGGAACCAAAAGAAUACCUCAAGGAGGGAGGUAGUGAUCCUUUGUUGCUUGAUGCAACAAUCAAUGGAUAGGAGCAAAAGACUAGUGGCCAAGUUUGGGCCAUGGAAUUUAAUGGGAGGAAUCCAAAUGGCAAAGUUAGCCAAGGAACACUAAUGUGUUUGAUACUAACGGAUUGCGGGAAAGGAAGUGGACUUCCAAGGUUAGAUUCCUAAGUGCUCCAAUUUAGCAAAGUAAAAGCUUCAAGUGAGGAGCAGCAAAGUAGCCAAAGGAUAGGGCUGUGGACAGCCCUGACACAAAUGAUAAUAAUUGGAACAUAGUGCCAAGGGUGGCACAAAAUAAAAAAGAGGAUGAUGGUGCCCUCAAGUAGAGAACUUCCUAGGAUAGGGAAGUGGACUUGCACAAUAUGUGCAAUGCAAAGUGUCAGAGACACCUAGGAAAUUGACUUCAAGAAGUCAAAAGUAAACGUUCCAAAGUGCAAAGGUUAUGUCGAUAGAAUCUGAGACUACUCGAGAAUGAGUAGUGGAAUUGAGUUAGAGAAGGUGUCUCUAACAAGUUUAGCGAGAACUGAACCAAUAAAAGGGAGCAAACCACCCCAGGUGGCCGAAUGAGUCUCUAUGUUGGAGAGACUAUGCCCCUUAGAGGAUAGACAAGGCAUGGUGAGCCUUUGGUGUCAAACCAUAGACAAAUAUUGGCUGGGUGCCAAGGAUGGAACUGGUAAUACAUGCGGGUGUUACUUUAUAAGAGGGUUUACCAUUCGAUGAGGACAUCGAACUUCGUCUAUGGGUGGUGGAGUUGUGAGACACAAAAUCCCUAAGCCCCAAAGUGGAGCUGGAAGGGUGCCAUGUGGUGGUGGCUGAAGCGAAAACCAAACGAGCGUAACACGUUUGGACCAAAAAACUCCGACUUGAAAAGGUCGAGAGUGGGAGUGGAAUUCCUAACGAAGUGCUCGAGGAACGAGCACGAAGUGAGCAAUAAGCGAGGCUCCAAAAAAGGACCCAAAAGGACCAACACAUGACACGAGGAAGUGUCCAAAAUGGACCCGAGUUGGGGUCUGAAGUGGAGUCCGAGAUGGAGUCCAAGGUGGAGUCCGAGAUGGAGUCCGAGAUGGACCCGAGAUGGAGUCCGAGAUGGACCCAAGAUGGAGUCCGAGAUGGACCCGAGAUGGACCCGAGAUGGAGUCCGAGAUGGAGUCCAAGAUGAAGUCCGAGAUGGACCCGAGAUGGAGUCUGAGAUGGACCCGAGAUGGAGUUUGAGAUGAACCCGAGAUGGACCUGAGAUGGAGUCCGAGAUGGAGUCCAAGAUGGACCCGAGAUGGAGUCCAAGAUGGAGUCCGAGAUGGAACCGAGACCGAGGCCAAGACCGAGACCGAGAUCGAGUCCGAGUCCGAAAUCGGGACCGAGACCGNNNNNNNNNNNNNNNNNNNNNNNNNNNNNNNNNNNNNNNNNNNNNNNNNNNNNNNNNNNNNNNNNNNNNNNNNNNNNNNNNNNNNNNNNNNNNNNNNNNNUUUUUUUUGGGGGGGGGGGGGGGGCUGCAGGGGGUUCCAAAAGUGUUAGUAGGGAGAGUGUGGGGGUUGGAGUCCUAGUGGAGCCAGUUUAGCCAGGAAAGGCCAGUUUGGCCCAGGAAGGCCAUACCUAGUGUUAGGUGAUGAACUAACCACUGGGAAGUCCAAGACUAGAGUGAAUACAGACCAACAAGCAAGGUAGCUUAGUGAAGUGUUCAAGAGCCGGCUCUAGUUCCCCUGGGAGAUUGACUGGCCGAUACUCCCAGUCCAAGUGUGGGUGGCACUACCUACUUGGAUACCAGGCGUGGCUCAAUGGAACCUUGCUCUAAGCCCAUGGCUAGAGCACCCAAAGGCGGAAGGCGGGGAGAGUACCCAUGAGGCCCGCAUAGGGCCACGGUGUUCCGGAAUGUUGUCCCAAAGGCCCAGACUGUGGAGAGGAAGAGGAGUAGUCCUCUGGUGUAGUGACCAAGGAUACAGUCGAGUGGUGAGGAAGUCCCAGAGGACCGUGGGACUUAGUGGUCAGGCCUGUGGGCCUCGAUCCAGUGGCAGUGUUGGCGAACACGGCCAUGGGUAGAAAGGGACUUAAUGAAGACUGGAAAAGGGAUAUUGGGGAAGGCUAUUCCCUUUGUCUGUGGGCAUCCUAAGGAUGCUAAGGAGUGGAUCUUGAAUGAUCACUCAUGGACGGAUGGCCUAGUCUUUGAGAGACGGGACUGUGGUGUAGGUGGUGUCAGACCACCGAUGGGACCAAGGUGAAUGGGCAUGGCCUUAGCGUAAUGAGCUGAUGUGUCGGUGGUACUUUCGGGUGUCGAUCAUGGGACCGGACAUGUGGAGCACUGGGACCAACUGCAAAUGUUGAAUGGCAUGGAUGCCAUUCUCGAGGCUAGCAAGCCCCAAGUCCUGAGUGGGACUUAUGGAGGUUGUGAAUAAGACUCCUCCAAGUGGUCAGAGGUGUGGUUAAGUGGCUAAAGUAGAGAGGAAAAAUUUAGUCGCUUACAGUAAAUUGGCAAAUUGGAAAGGAAACAUUUGAGGCUUACACCCUCUUGGUCGGAUUCGAUGAAGGCUUGCUGGGCUGGGCAUUUGUGGAUGGAUGGAUCGCUCCAUAGCAGUAGGAGAACCAGCAAAGCAGUGGAGAUGUAGUGGCGAUGGCAAUAGCCGCAGCAGCAUUAGAAAUCUAGCCCCACGAGUGCAAUUGCCAUUGGAAUCACCGAACGGAUUGGGAUUCCAGCUGAACGUGGUCGAGACCAACAAUGCUAGAUCUGCACCGACUCACCUUGGAUUCUAGAAAUCUAGCAGCGUAGCGGCAAUGCACCUGGCGCCAUCAAUCGAUCUCCUCUGCGGGCAAAUAUCUGAUAAGUAGUGGAAUAUUUUGGUUCCCAUGAAUCUAGGCCAUCUAUCAGCGAGUGUGCCUCUUAAUCGUGUCACUUGGAAACAAGCCCAGCUUAGAAGACACACAAUUUUUUCUAGUUACGUGUUUGUCAUCUCAAGACACUUAAAAGAGGAUUACAAGGACGACGAAAGCCAAUAUAAUAUACACUACACCCCUUUUUGUCCAACUAUGUACCUCACAUACACACAUGCUUUGUAAGUACAUUUUUUAGAAGCUUUUCAUUGGCAUCGAAGGGGCCUCCUCAUAUACAUUGUCCUCAAAAUAUGUUAAGGGAAGAAAAAAAACGAAGAAGAACACUAAUAGUAAGAGACCUGGUGUAAGCAAAAAGAUGGAUGCCCCCCUCCCUCCCCCUAAGUAGUGUUGUUGUUACAUCGUCAAUGUAGCGACAGUUUGACCACAUGCCGCAGAGGGAUUCGGUAUCACAGACCGCCAUGGUUGCAGAUUAUGCCCAAUGCGGGCAUCUUGAACUUGCGACGCGAUUGUUACAGGAGAUGCCUCGGCACAAUCUUCUGUGUUGGAAUGCAAUCCUCUUGGCGACCGCUGCCGAGGUCCGGAUAAGCAGAGAAAGUCAGAUCUUUGAGGAAAUGCCCGAGUAAGACAUCGUUUCUUGGAGCACGUUGCUUUUGGCAUAUGCCCAGAACGGUCUCUUGGACGAAGCCAAGCAAACUUUUGGACUGAUGCCUCAGCACAACUCCACGUCUUCGACAGCCAUGCUUGCGUCGUAUGCGCAGCACAAGCAGCUGCGAGAGUCCAAGGUUUUUUUCGACGACAUGCUGGAACGCGACGUGGUUUCGUGGACUGCGAUGCUUGCAGCGUAUGCUCACAAUGGUCACGUCAGGCAUUCCGAAAGGCUGUUUGAGUCGCUUCCCGAACGGGACACCAUCUGCUGGAGCGCUAUGCUUGCCGCUCUUGUUCAAAACGGGCUCUACUUGGAAGCUUUUGUUGUUUUUGACGAGAUCAAGAUGGCGGGAUCAAUUGACAAGGUGUGUUUUGUAUCGAUCUUGCUUGCAGCCAGGGAGGGAAGGUUUCCACUGCAAAAUCGCUCUUCGUCUCGAUGAGUCUUGGUUUUGGGUUUCAACCGAGCAAGCAGCACUAUUGCUGCACGAUUCUUUGGGCAAGCCGGGCAUUUGGAAAAUGCGCAAGACCUUGUGGCUAACAUGCCAUAUGUACCAGAUUCGAUUCAGUGGAGGUGCUUGUUUGGAGCAAGCCGAAGUAACAAUGAUGCUCAACAUGGAGCUUCGGUUGCUAGGGAAAUAAUCGGACUAGAUAAAGAACAUUCUGCUUCAUAUGAGCUUUUUGCCAACUUGAUAAGGUUGUAGAUUUUUUAUUUAUCCGUCAUUUAGGCCCUUUAGUUUAAAUAAAUUGUAAAUCUAUAACUUUUACAUUUUAUUGGUAAUCUCGCCAUACAUUUUGUAAGUACCCCAAGAAUAGGUGAAUAUAACAAUGUUCUGUGUUUUCUGAAACAGAUUAUUUGAAAAAUAUUAUGGCUGGUGUGAGAGCAAUGGUGGAUUUGGGUAUAGAUCAUGUACCAAAUGAAUAUUUGACAUCCAUAUGCAAAGGCAUAACCAUCAAAGCUCCAAACAACCUCCCAAUUAUUGACUUAAGUGGCAUAGAUAGUGAUGAUUUGAAAAGAAAAUCAGCAGCUGAAGAAAUUCAUCUAGCAUGCCAGAAAUGGGGUUUUUUCCAGGUAAACAAUCUCUUCUGAAAUACUUUGCAAAUUGUUCUAGUCAGGUCAUCGGCCAUGGGAUAUCUAACGAGCUUAUGCAAGACAUCAUCAAAAUGGUCCAUUACUUCUUUAACUUGCCUGCCAAGGAAAGGAUGGUUUACUACUCAACAGAUAUCUACAAGAGCUUUAGAUUCUCCACAGGAUCCAUAGCAAGUGCAAGUAAAAAGUUUUGGAGCGACUAUUUGUUCCAGCACUGUCAGCCAGCAGUUCACGAGGAUGAUCUACCAGAAAGUAUUCCAAAUUACAGGUACAAACUUUCCUUUAACAGAUUUUUUUUUUCUCUCUGUUUUAACACUAUAUAUUAACUAUAACAAAGGAAAAUUACAAGCAAUUACGCCAAGGCUGUGGACGAACUUGCCAGAAAACUGCUGCGAAUUAUUGCUCAAAACCUUGGUCUAGGUUGGCAGAUCCUGGAGAAACACUUGGAUCCUCCCAAGCAAACCAUGAAGAUGACAUAUUAUCCACAGUGACCAUGCCCUGAUCAAGCAAUUGGCAUAGGUUGCCAUGCUGAUCCAGGAACCAUAACGGUAUUACAACAAGAACUUGGAGUUGAGGGCCUUGAGGUUAACUACAAUGGCCAAUGGAUUCCUGUGAAGCCAGUUGAAGGCGCAUUAGUCAUUAAUGUAGCAGACAUGCUCCAGGUGAAAUAAUUUGAUGACAUUUUCUAUGAGCUCUUAGUUUCCCUCUUACAGAUACUAAGCAACAAUAAAUAUAAGAGUGCGAGUUCUAGUGAACACUAAGAGGCCACGAGUUUCAAUUGCUUCAUUUUAUGGUCCUACAGGUGAUAAACAUAUUGCCCCACUGGAGGAGUUGCUAGGUGACAAUCCUCCCAUGUUCAAAGCAUGCUUGUUCAGAGAGUACAUGGACAACUUCUACAAGAACCACCUUGGGACGCGAAACAUUGAGAAGCUCAGAAUCCUAAACAACUGAUGAUAGGAAAUAUAUUGUCAUGAUAAUACAUUAAUCCGAUCCUAUUAUGAUUAAUACUACUAAGGCUGACAUGACUGUGGCAUUCCAUCUGAAAGCUGUCUUACAACAGAGUUCGUGCAGUUCAUAUAUCAUAUUCCUUCACGGGACUCUUGUUUGCAUGUUUCUGUCCAAGAAGGCUGCAUGAUCAAAUACAAAGCAAAGGCUGCACAACAUUUCCCGUCUACACAAGGAGUUUCUUCUUCUCUUGGUAGCAGUCGAUUAUAGCAAGGGAGAGAGUUUCAGAGCUGUGCAAUGGGUGCAUUGUUGAGAUCCUUCGUUGUUCUCCUGGUAUACAGAUUAGCUCAUUACUCCACUCCAUUGAUGUUUCUUCGAUCCAUUCCCAGUGAUGAAUUUUGUUAUUUUCUCGUAGCUUGUCGUCGUCGCGGUGGAAGCGCGCUCCUGGUCUCCGCUCUACGGCACCAACGCGGGUGUGGGAUUCAACGACACGAGUUCUUCCUCGGCGAUCAAAACGCUCACCGGAAUCCGCGUACGCUAUGGCUGGGUGAUCGACGGCAUCCAGGGACAAUACACCACCGGCAGCUCUUCAACCUGGAUGCCUAACCACGGCACAACCACGCAAUUCACAGAGGUCAGUCGCCCAAAAGAACCAAAAUGAGCGUUUCUAGUUUCAAUCAUUCCAUUCCAUGACGCAGAUCCAAGUCGCCUAUCCGUCCGAGAGGUUCGUGCGCGCCACCGGCAAGUACGGGCCGUACAGAAGCGAGAAGAACCAGGGGGUCACGGUGACGGAGCUGUCGUUCGUCACGUACAACAACAUCACCGGCAAGAGCGUCACGUACGGCCCCUACGGCGGGCAUGGGAUGAGCGGCCAGACGAGCUUCCAGACGGCGGACGCGAGCGAGAUCGUGGGCUUGUAUGGAUUCACCUCGGACUACAUGCGCGGGAUUGGUUUCGCGCUCGAGCGUACCAAGAACUAGAAACUUGGCAUCAUGCCAUGAAUCUAUCUAUCUACUUACAAUUGUUGAUUUAUAGUUGAAUUUGAGAAUGUA
rnacentral:lncRNA from 1 species